UUAAUUCCACUACAAAUCUUAAACAUAACCUAACAUUUUCAGAUUUCAAUUUCAACCGGUUUUUUCUACAGGAUUAAAAAUAAAAAGGAUUCCUCCGUAUGGAAUCGAUUUAAAACGUGGCAAAUCUGGAUGUGAAAGCCGAAAUAAUGAUUGCUGCCAAUGAGCCACAGGAAUUCGUUCCACGUGGAAGGCAGCAAGCAAAUCAACAUCCGGGUCCUAUUGAAGUUCUUCAAACGGAAGCUGAAGGUCACGAUAAAUUCUUAAUUGAAGACUUUGAAAAAGUUUAUUGUUGCCGAUCAAUGUUCAGAAAAGUGGAUUUUAAAGCUUAGCCCGGAAUAUUUUAAUGAUUACACCGUUAAGACAGUUAAAGAAGAAAAUAAAAGUAAUAAUUUAGAACAAGAACAAAACGAAAAUAAGUAUUUUGUAAAUGUAUGUAUUUCGACAACUUUGUAUACAUUUUGCACAAAAAUUAAAUUAAUUCUAAAAGUU